GCCAGUGUGGUGUAGUGGUUUGAACGCUAGACUAUGACUGGAGACCAGGGUUCAAAUCCCAGCUCAACCA